AGAGUUUGAUCCUGGCUCAGAACGAACGCUGGCGGCAUGCCUAACACAUGCAAGUCGAACGGGAUCCGAGCUUCGGUUCGGUGAGAGUGGCGAACGGGUGAGUAACGCGUGGGAACCUGCCCAGAGGUACGGAAUAACAGUUGGAAACGACUGCUAAUACCGUAUGAGCCCGAGAGGGGAAAGAUUUAUCGCCUUUGGAGGGGCCCGCGUCAGAUUAGGUAGUUGGUGGGGUAAAGGCCUACCAAGCCUACGAUCUGUAGCUGGUCUUAGAGGAUGAUCAGCCACACUGGGACUGAGAUACGGCCCAGACUCCUACGGGAGGCAGCAGUGGGGAAUAUUGGACAAUGGGGGCAACCCUGAUCCAGCAAUGCCGCGUGAGUGAUGAAGGCCUUCGGGUUGUAAAGCUCUUUUGCCAGGGACGAUGAUGACGGUACCUGGAGAAUAAGCCCCGGCUAACUUCGUGCCAGCAGCCGCGGUAAUACGAAGGGGGCUAGCGUUGUUCGGAAUUACUGGGCGUAAAGGGCGCGUAGGCGGUUUGAUUAGUCAGAUGUGAAAUUCCCGGGCUUAACCUGGGCGCUGCAUUUGAUACUGUCAGGCUUGAAUUCGGGAGAGGAUAGCGGAAUUCCCAGUGUAGAGGUGAAAUUCGUAGAUAUUGGGAAGAACACCGGUGGCGAAGGCGGCUAUCUGGACCGACAUUGACGCUGAGGCGCGAAAGCGUGGGGAGCAAACAGGAUUAGAUACCCCAGUAGUCC
rnacentral:rRNA from 1 species